rnacentral:rRNA from 1 species
CCUACGGGAGGCAGCAGUGGGGAAUAUUGCACAAUGGGCGCAAGCCUGAUGCAGCCAUGCCGCGUGUGUGAAGAAGGCCUUCGGGUUGUAAAGCACUUUCAGCGGGGAGGAAGGCGUUAAGGUUAAUAACCUUGUCGAUUGACGUUACCCGCAGAAGAAGCACCGGCUAACUCCGUGCCAGCAGCCGCGGUAAUACGGAUGGUGCAAGCGUUAAUCGGAAUUACUGGGCGUAAAGCGCACGCAGGCGGUCUGUCAAGUCGGAUGUGAAAUCCCCGGGCUCAACCUGGGAACUGCAUUCGAAACUGGCAGGCUAGAGUCUUGUAGAGGGGGGUAGAAUUCCAGGUGUAGCGGUGAAAUGCGUAGAGAUCUGGAGGAAUACCGGUGGCGAAGGCGGCCCCCUGGACAAAGACUGACGCUCAGGUGCGAAAGCGUGGGGAGCAAACAGGAUUAGAUACCCUAGUAGUC